GAGGGGUUCUCCGUCGCGAAGCGCCCCGUGUGACGGCCCCGGGAGCCGGCUGCCGACUCUGAACUCACGGGGCCUCCUUCCCGCUUGUCCUUUUCCCCCGCUAGGAGACGAGGGCAGGGAAGCCCCCAAAUUUGUCCCGUCCUGUCCCCUUGGGGAAAGUGAUGCUGAGAGAGCCAGAGAGGGUAUCGCGCCGGCGGGUGGGGUGGGGUGCAACUCCAGCGACAGAAGGAACAGAAUUCACAAGAUGAAAUCCUCCCCCUGAGCGUGAUGUAUUAGGAUAUGGUGUCUUUGAGAGACUGCCUUGUCACCAGCCUAAGUCCCUACCCACCGGGCCCAUGAAUUGGUGUGGUCUUUCUCAAGGGAAAGAGAACCCAAGAGUACAACUCACAGCAUAUGCCACUUCCAGGACCAUUUUCAAGACUACCUCCAACUGCAACUAAAACACCUUAGCAGUCUACUCCCAGCUGAUACCAUCUGUUACACCAAGUUCAAAUGUCUUGCUUAGUCACCUAGACUAUGGAGUUUCCAUAAAGCCAUGGAUGUGAAUUGAGAGAGGAGCAGCAGUAAAAUGGGAAUAAACAAACAGGAAUAUCUCACUUUAUCAUGCUUCACUUUACCGUGCUUUGCAGUAAAAU